CGCCAAUACCUCGAGAGGAGGGAGAGGUUUGUCUAAGUGAUCUUUAGUUGUAAUUUAGUUUUAAUGAUAAUGAAUUAAUUUUGACCCUAGACAUAUAUAGAAUUUAGCUGAACCACUUGACACUAAGCAAGAGUUCCAGACCUCCACUAGCAUGAGCGUACCAGCAACACGACCAGCACGGAACAGAAGGCCGGGACAAUACUAACUCUCUCCUUAUGAUAAAGUGUCUCGGGGAGCGAAG
rnacentral:lncRNA from 1 species